UCCGGUGUAGUUUAGUUGGUUAUAAUACCCCCCCGGGCAAGGCCCUAGGCCGAGCUGGAAUGGGCGUGGGAGUCCCGAGUUCGAUCCUCGGCGCCGGAC